AUUGAACGCUGGCGGCAGGCCUAACACAUGCAAGUCGAGCGAGCGGCGGACGGGUGAGUAAUGUCUGGGGAACUGCCCGAUAGAGGGGGAUAACUACUGGAAACGGUAGCUAAUACCGCAUACUAUCGGAUGAACCCAUAUGGGAUUAGCUAGUAGGUGGGGUAAAGGCUCACCUAGGCGACGAUCCCUAGCUGGUCUGAGAGGAUGACCAGCCAAACUGGGACUGAGACACGGCCCAGACUCCUACGGGAGGCAGCAGUGGGGAAUAUUGCACAAUGGGCGCAAGCCUGAUGCAGCCAUGCCGCGUGUAUGAAGAAGGCCUUAGGGUUGUAAAGUACUUUCAGCGAGGAGGCGUUACCCGCAGAAGAAGCACCGGCUAACUCCGUGCCAGCCGCCGCGGUAAUAC
rnacentral:rRNA from 1 species